AAGCUCAAAUAGUGCAACUCAACCGUGCAGUUCAAACAGGAUCAGGUGGGAGACCGCCCAUACCUGUUGGUUCAAGUUCACAAAUGCAAGUGGAAGUUAACACGGUACGCUUUGUAAUUACAUAUGCAACCAUAUACAGGCCAGUAGAUAUCAUCUUUCCUCUUCAAAACUUUGUUUAGGAUUUUGAUUAUUUGUGAAAUAAAUAAAGUUGUUAGUAUUCCUUUGUCUUUCUUACGAUCACACAAAGUUACAGACAUAGACUUUACUUCUGCUUGUAUGUUAGUGGCACAUAUGUCAGUGACUUUAUAACUUGUUUUUGUUUCUGUAAAUAGUCAAUUUCAUCCAAUUCUAUAAAUUUGCUGUAAUGUGUCUUGUGUCUUUUAAAAUUAUAACUAUUAUAGGACAUUGCUAACUCGAGAAAUAUUGCUGUAGUGUGUUUAGUUCUUUUAUAACACAUCCUAUUGUAGUGAAUAAAUUGUUAUUACAAUCAUUUGACCUUCUAAGUUUUUUCCUGGUUGCUUGUGAACUUUUCUGCCGGUUAUGUGAACCAUCAUUAUACCAUUUACUUUAUAUUUUGCUUGUAGAUUUAUCCAUUGCUUACUCUUUUUCCCCCUUGAAGUAGGCUAAUUUGUUUGAUGGACUGUGAUUGUUUUGUAAACAAACUACCAUAAUAUUGUUUCAGGAGGUUAGUUUGUUUGGUGGUUGUCCUUUCCAAGUCGUCGCAAAGGGAAGGGUGAAAGAUGCCUAGGAGAAGGAAAUUUCUUAGUUUACAUUGAGUGUACGUUUAUAACGCAUGCUUUGUUGUCAUGCCCUCAUGAUGAAUGGUGUACGACUUUGGGACAGAUUGGGUAGGGAUUUGUAAUUUGGCCGAAGAUGUGCCUUGAGUUUCAUCACUAGCAAG
rnacentral:lncRNA from 1 species